rnacentral:rRNA from 1 species
GUCGAGCGGAAACGAGUUAACUGAACCUUCGGGGGACGUUAACGGCGUCGAGCGGCGGACGGGUGAGUAAUGCCUAGGAAAUUGCCCUGAUGUGGGGGAUAACCAUUGGAAACGAUGGCUAAUACCGCAUGAUGCCUACGGGCCAAAGAGGGGGACCUUCGGGCCUCUCGCGUCAGGAUAUGCCUAGGUGGGAUUAGCUAGUUGGUGAGGUAAGGGCUCACCAAGGCGACGAUCCCUAGCUGGUCUGAGAGGAUGAUCAGCCACACUGGAACUGAGACACGGUCCAGACUCCUACGGGAGGCAGCAGUGGGGAAUAUUGCACAAUGGGCGCAAGCCUGAUGCAGCCAUGCCGCGUGUGUGAAGAAGGCCUUCGGGUUGUAAAGCACUUUCAGUCGUGAGGAAGGUAGUGUAGUUAAUAGCUGCAUUAUUUGACGUUAGCGACAGAAGAAGCACCGGCUAACUCCGUGCCAGCAGCCGCGGUAAUACGGAGGGUGCGAGCGUUAAUCGGAAUUACUGGGCGUAAAGCGCAUGCAGGUGGUUUGUUAAGUCAGAUGUGAAAGCCCGGGGCUCAACCUCGGAAUAGCAUUUGAAACUGGCAGACUAGAGUACUGUAGAGGGGGGUAGAAUUUCGGUGUAGCGGUGAAAUGCGUAGAGAUCUGAAGGAAUACCGGUGGCGAAGGCGGCCCCCUGGACAGAUACUGACACUCAGAUGCGAAAGCGUGGGGAGCAAACAGGAUUAGAUACCCUGGUAGUCCACGCCGUAAACGAUGUCUACUUGGAGGUUGUGGCCUUGAGCCGUGGCUUUCGGAGCUAACGCGUUAAGUAGACCGCCUGGGGAGUACGGUCGCAAGAUUAAAACUCAAAUGAAUUGACGGGGGCCCGCACAAGCGGUGGAGCAUGUGGUUUAAUUCGAUGCAACGCGAAGAACCUUACCUACUCUUGACAUCCAGAGAACUUUUCAGAGAUGAAUUGGUGCCUUCGGGAACUCUGAGACAGGUGCUGCAUGGCUGUCGUCAGCUCGUGUUGUGAAAUGUUGGGUUAAGUCCCGCAACGAGCGCAACCCUUAUCCUUGUUUGCCAGCGAGUAAUGUCGGGAACUCCAGGGAGACUGCCGGUGAUAAACCGGAGGAAGGUGGGGACGACGUCAAGUCAUCAUGGCCCUUACGAGUAGGGCUACACACGUGCUACAAUGGCGCAUACAGAGGGCGGCCAACUUGCGAAAGUGAGCGAAUCCCAAAAAGUGCGUCGUAGUCCGGAUUGGAGUCUGCAACUCGACUCCAUGAAGUCGGAAUCGCUAGUAAUCGUGGAUCAGAAUGCCACGGUGAAUACGUUCCCGGGCCUUGUACACACCGCCCGUCACACCAUGGGAGUGGUU